UACGUAGGGCCCAAGCGUUGUUCGGAUUUACUGGGCGUAAAGGGCGCGUAGGCGGCGAAUUAAGUCAUCUGUGAAAUCUCCGAGCUUAACUCGGAACGGUCAGGUGAUACUGAUCUGCUAGAGUGCGGAAGGGGCAAUCGGAAUUCUUGGUGUAGCGGUGAAAUGCGUAGAUAUCAAGAGGAAAGCCUGAGGUGAAGACGGGUUGCUGGGCCGACACUGACGCUGACAGCGCGAAGGCCAGGGGAGCAAACGGG
rnacentral:rRNA from 1 species